UUGAAUGUUUCUGAUUUUUAAGAUAUAUUGGAUACGCCUCUGUGAUGUUGGGGAAAAUCUUUGUAUAUGUUAUAGCUUGUGUAAUUUUCCUUUUCCCUUCAUUCUUGGAUGUGUCUACUGUUAUUGUUUAUAUUUAUGUGAUAACUCCUUGAUAAUUGAAGAAGUUGGAUGAGUGUUUUCUUAACAACUGUGCCUAUUUUAUGGUUAUAGUUGAGAAUGAAUGUGCAUUUGUCAUUGAUCUGAAUUUUUGAGUUUGCCUUUACAUGCUUGUUACUAGGCAGUAGAGUGAAAUGUUGGGUAGUAAUUUUUAGUUGCUAAGCUUAUAGUCUUGUGGGUUCCGCCUAAAGCUUUAGUGAUACAACGAAAUCAUUCAUGUCCACAUGUAAAAUUUGCUAUUGGGAAAUUGUCUUUUGGAGAUAUUGUGAAGUAUAUUAAUGUGGUGUUGAUGUGAAAAAGGAUGUAUUUAUAAUAUACUGUGCAGGCCAUGAUGAAAUUUAUAUGCAAGUUGUAUUUUGCUUUAAAUGGAAAAGAUCCAUUUAUAGGGGAGGUCUUGCUGGAUCUUCGGUAGAUUUAUAGUAGGGGUGACAAUUUUAGACACAACCAAUGAACAUGAUGUAGAAAGAUAAUAUUUUGUUGUUGUUUUUCACAAUAGAGAUUACAACCUAUUUAUACAUGAGAGAUGGUAUCUAAAAAGGAAGGAAAAUCAAGUCUAUGAUUAUACAAUCCUAAGAUUAAGUAACUGAUCUAUCUAUCAAUAUUUACUUGUUAUAUUAACAUAUUUACUCUCUAUAACUUCUAACACUCCCCCUCAAACUGGAGCAUAAAUGUUAAUCAUGCUCAACUUGUUACAUAUAUAAUCAACAGUAGCCGUGAACAGUUCCCGUGAACAAUACUCGAUGAACAGUGCCCCCGAUGUCUCCAAAUGUUACCCUUGCUGGGUAACCCAAAUGCAUGGAACCCUAAAUUUCUAAAUGUUAUCCUUUAUGAGUAAUCCCGAUGAACAGAACCGUAAAUCUUCAAAUAUUACUCUUUAUGGAUAAUCCAAAUGAACAGAGUUCUAAGUCUCCAAAUGUUACCCUUUAUGGGUAACCCCAAUGAACAGAGUCCUAAGUCUCCAAAUGUCCUUUAUGGAUAACCCAAAUGAACAUAGCUCUAAGUCUCCAAAUGUUAUCCUUUCUAGAUGUUACCCUUUAUGGGUAAUCCGAUAAACGGAGCUUGAAGUAUCCAAAUGUUACCCUUUAUGGGUAAUCCGAUAAACAGAGCCCUAAGUCUCCAAGUGUUACCCUUUAUGGGGAAUCCCGAUAAACACAGAGCCCUAAGUCUCCAAAUAUCCUUUAUGGGUAACCCAAAUGAACAGAGUCCUGCGUCUCCAAAUGUUACUCUGGAUAAUCCAAAUGAACAAAGUUCUAAAUUUUCAAAUAUUACCCUUUAUGAGUAAUCCCGGUGAACAAAACUCUAAAUCUCCAAAUGUUACCAUUUAUGGUAACCCAAAUGAAUAGAGCCCUAAGUCUCCAAAUGUUACCCUUUAUGGGUAACUCAAAAUGAACAGAGCCCUACGUCUCCAAAUUUUACCCUUUAUUGGUAACUCAAAUGAAUAGAACCCUAAAUCUCCAAAUGUUACCCUUUAUGGGUAAUCCAAAAUCAUGUUUUACCUGUGUCAGCCACUACUGAAGACGUUGGGAUAAUUUUAAUAAUAUGGAUCUUACUGUCAAAAACCAUUUCAACCAAAAUUCUAUACUCCUUUACCUUCAAACGAACUAAAGGAAGAUAACUCAACACCCAAACGGCAAACGAAUCACAGAUCUGACAAGCGGGUUGCAAGGCAACUAAACGCCUCCACCCAACAUCCAAACGGCAAACGAACCACAGAUCUGAUAAGCGGAUUGUAAGACAACUUUGGCAUCCUCUCUAGGUGGACGAUAAGAGACAAAUAUUACCCUAGAUGGGUAACACAAAAGAACAUGAGCUCUAAGUCUCCCAUGUAGAAAGAUAAUAUUUUGUUGUUGUUUUUCACAAUAGAGAUUACAACCUAUUUAUACAUGAGAGACGGUAUCUAAACAGGAAGGAAAAUCAAGUCUAUGAUUAUACAAUCCUAAGAUUAAGUAACUGAUCUAUCUAUCCAUAUUUACUUCUUAUAUUGUUAAG
rnacentral:lncRNA from 1 species